AGUAUGGAACAGGAGUCAGAGGUUUGCCCAGAGAGGCCAUUCUCUUACCAGCACAAGGCAAACCUCAUACGUCUGACUCUCUGAGACCUAUGUUACUGAAAAAGGCAUGAUGUGUCCCUUACCCAAGCCCAAGCCAAGAUGGCCAUUUACCUCUCGAUCCCGCUCAGUUUUGGUCAACCUCAUCUGCCGCAGCAUCUGAGACCGCUGCUCCAUCAUCAGUGUCCGCUCGUAGCUUCCAGGCGGAGGUGAUACAGGAAGAUGGCCAGAUCCUUCUUCAUCUGGAUGCUGUUGUCGUCCAUCUGGGCCACGGUGAAAAUGCGCAUCCGGCACUUCUUCCAAACCUGCGGCCGAGGGUCGUGUGAGCGGCUGGGUCACGCAGGGCUUCCUGAGAGCCCAGCUGCCCUCGCCCACACCCGGCCAGCUGGCACACCUUAUGCUGGCGCAGCAGGAAGGGCAGCAGCAUAAGCAUGCCUCCAUCGUGCACGAUCCACCACACGUCGAUGUGGCCAUCCAGGUAGCGCUCGUGGUUGCUGGGGUAGAAAGCUAUGUUCUUUGGCACCAGCAGGGCCAGGUGGGCAGCUGUGGUGCAGCGCACAGUGUCUAGGGAGGAGGGGCACCGCUGACUGCCAGCCUGUGACCCUCUGGUCUCUGUCACCUCACUUUAACCCUGGCCCUUGGCCCCUGGCCCAGCUUAGGCGCCAGACCCUCACACA
ensembl:antisense Gm16156 predicted gene 16156